rnacentral:rRNA from 1 species
UACGGGGGGGGCAAGCGUUGUUCGGAAUUACUGGGCGCAAAGCGCGCGUAGGCGGCUUUUCAAGUCAGACGUGAAAGCCCCAGGCUUAACCUGGGAAUUGCGUUUGAUACUGUUAAGCUAGAGUGUGGAAGGGGCUACUGGAAUUCCGUGUGUAGCGGUGAAAUGCGUAGAGAUGUGGAGGAACACCGAUGGCGAAGGCAGCCUCCUGGGCCAGCACUGACGCUCAUGCACGAAAGCGUGGGGAGCAAACAGG